rnacentral:misc_RNA from 1 species
GUAGGCAAUCGGCUGGCCGAAGAACUCGAGGCGCGCAUCCUCGAAGUACAGCAUCUUUUCGGUCUGAUUGUGGAUGAUGCGCGCGCCCUUGACCUGCCACAGGGUUGUCCUUACAGGCCGCGCAGGCGGUGUAGACGCCGUUUUGGAAAAUCGUGAUGUCGCCGCCGGUGCGGUCGGCGCGCGUUGCCGCCAUGCGGGUCUGAUCGGCGGUCUCCAGACGCAGCGAAUCAACAAAGCCGUCC